GACGAACGCUGGCGGCGUGCUUAACACAUGCAAGUCGAACGGAAAGGCCUCUUUCGGGGGGUACUCGAGUGGCGAACGGGUGAGUAACACGUGAGUAACCUGCCCUUGACUUUGGGAUAACUUCAGGAAACUGGGGCUAAUACCGGAUAGGAGCUCCUGCUGCAUGGUGGGGGUUGGAAAGUUUCGGCGGUUGGGGAUGGACUCGCGGCUUAUCAGCUUGUUGGUGGGGUAGUGGCUUACCAAGGCUUUGACGGGUAGCCGGCCUGAGAGGGUGACCGGCCACAUCGGGACUGGGAUACGGCCCAGACUCCUACGGGAGGCAGCAGUGGGGAAUAUUGCACAAUGGGUGGAAGCCUGAUGCAGCAACGCCGUGUGCGGGAUGACGGCCUUCGGGUUGUAAACCGCUUUCGCUCAUGACGAAGCUUUGUGUGACGGUAGUGGGUAAAGAAGCACCGGCUAACUACGUG
rnacentral:rRNA from 1 species